rnacentral:rRNA from 2 species
UGCCUAUAAUGCAGUCGACGAACUCUGGUAUUGAUUGGUGCUUGCAUCAUGAUUUACAUUUGAGUGAGUGGCGAACUGGUGAGUAACACGUGGGAAACCUGCCCAGAAGCGGGGGAUAACACCUGGAAACAGAUGCUAAUACCGCAUAACAACUUGGACCGCAUGGUCCGAGUUUGAAAGAUGGCUUCGGCUAUCACUUUUGGAUGGUCCCGCGGCGUAUUAGCUAGAUGGUGGGGUAACGGCUCACCAUGGCAAUGAUACGUAGCCGACCUGAGAGGGUAAUCGGCCACAUUGGGACUGAGACACGGCCCAAACUCCUACGGGAGGCAGCAGUAGGGAAUCUUCCACAAUGGACGAAAGUCUGAUGGAGCAACGCCGCGUGAGUGAAGAAGGGUUUCGGCUCGUAAAACUCUGUUGUUAAAGAAGAACAUAUCUGAGAGUAACUGUUCAGGUAUUGACGGUAUUUAACCAGAAAGCCACGGCUAACUACGUGCCAGCAGCCGCGGUAAUACGUAGGUGGCAAGCGUUGUCCGGAUUUAUUGGGCGUAAAGCGAGCGCAGGCGGUUUUUUAAGUCUGAUGUGAAAGCCUUCGGCUCAACCGAAGAAGUGCAUCGGAAACUGGGAAACUUGAGUGCAGAAGAGGACAGUGGAACUCCAUGUGUAGCGGUGAAAUGCGUAGAUAUAUGGAAGAACACCAGUGGCGAAGGCGGCUGUCUGGUCUGUAACUGACGCUGAGGCUCGAAAGUAUGGGUAGCAAACAGGAUUAGAUACCCUGGUAGUCCAUACCGUAAACGAUGAAUGCUAAGUGUUGGAGGGUUUCCGCCCUUCAGUGCUGCAGCUAACGCAUUAAGCAUUCCGCCUGGGGAGUACGGCCGCAAGGCUGAAACUCAAAGGAAUUGACGGGGGCCCGCACAAGCGGUGGAGCAUGUGGUUUAAUUUCGAAGUACGCGAAGAACCUUACCCAGGUCUUGACAUACUAUGCAAAAUCUAAGAGAUUAGACGUUCCCUUCGGGGACAUGGAUACAGGUGGUGCAUGGUUGUCGUCAGCUCGUGUCGUGAGAUGUUGGGUUAAGUCCCGCAACGAGCGCAACCCUUAUUAUCAGUUGCCAGCAUUAAGUUGGGCACUCUGGUGAGACUGCCGGUGACAAACCGGAGGAAGGUGGGGAUGACGUCAAAUCAUCAUGCCCCUUAUGACCUGGGCUACACACGUGCUACAAUGGAUGGUACAACGAGUUGCGAACUCGCGAGAGUAAGCUAAUCUCUUAAAGCCAUUCUCAGUUCGGAUUGUAGGCUGCAACUCGCCUACAUGAAGUCGGAAUCGCUAGUAAUCGCGGAUCAGCAUGCCGCGGUGAAUACGUUCCCGGGCCUUGUACACACCGCCCGUCACACCAUGAGAGUUUGUAACACCCAAAGUCGGUGGGGUAACCUUUUAGAAACCAGCCGCCUA